UUUUCCCUGCCCUGUUGGUGAUCUUCAGAAUGUUGAGCCAACUCUCAUAAAAAGGGUAUCUCUACGGUUUUCCGAAGGAAGUUUGCCUGGCAAACUUCCCGACGAGGCUAUGAGUUAUGCCCACCUAUUUCAUAGGUUUAAAUAUUCUGCUGACACGGCAGGGUGGGGAUUUU
rnacentral:other from 1 species